rnacentral:rRNA from 1 species
CAAUAGCGUAUAUUAAAGUUGUUGCAGUUAAAAAGCUCGUAGUUGGACCUUGGACCUGGACAGGCGGUCCGCCUCACGGCGAGUACUGUCUUGCUGGGUCUUUCCCCUUGGUGAUCUGUUGUUUCGGCAGCAGGGAACCAGGACCUUUACUUUGAAAAAAUUAGAGUGUUCAAAGCAGGCUCGACGCCGGAAUAUAUUAGCAUGGAAUAAUAAAAUAGGACGUGCGGUUCUAUUUUGUUGGUUUUUGGAAUCGCCGUAAUGAUUAAUAGGGACAGUCGGGGGCAUUAGUACUCACAUGCUAGAGGUGAAAUUCUUGGAUUUUGUGAAGACUAACUUCUGCGAAAGCAUUUGCCAAGGAUGUUUUCAUUAA